rnacentral:rRNA from 1 species
ACGCUCGACACCUACGGGAGGCUGCAGUGGGGAAUAUUGCACAAUGGGGGAAACCCUGAUGCAGCGAUGCCGCGUGAAGGAAGAAGUAUCUCGGUAUGUAAACUUCUAUCAGCAGGGAAGAAAAUGACGGUACCUGACUAAGAAGCCCCGGCUAACUACGUGUCAGCAGCCGCGGUAAUCUGAGCGGCUGGCAAGGC